AACACAGCUAGCACCUCUUCAGGGACAUGCUUCCUGUCCACCACCACUUCGUAGACAUACUCAGAGAACCACUCAUCUGUCAUGCACAGUAUGUUGUUACGGCUGAAGUAGAUGAAGAAAUUCCAGCCUCGCACAGAUAUGUUGUUGGAGAAGGGAAGACCUUGCAGACCCCCAAAAAAGGUCCCAGGGAUCUGCAGGGAUCCUCAGACAACAUCUUGAGAACUGCUGAUUUAAGACAAGACUGAUUAAAAGAACUAACAUGGUGCAUGGACCUAAGAAAACUGGACUACCAAGACCUCAUUAAGUCACUCCCAAUCUUUCACCUGACAGCCAUAACUCAAGGUUGAAGAAAGGCUCCCAGCAAAGAAAAGCAAACACUUCGCUGGCAUGUAUCUCCUAUUUCAAACUUCCUAACAAACAGUGAGAGACCACCUCACAGAACAUUAUCCGUCAUUUAAAAUGAAAUUGCAAAGACUGUGUAGCAACAUGGAAAACUGUUUACAUGAUAAAAGUAAAAGUAUAUAAAAGUAGUAUAUCCUGUGUGAUUACAACUAUGUUAUAAAUUAGAUGCACACAAAAAACCAUGAAGAACAAUAAUAAAAUGAUAAUUUUAUGCCAUGGUGUAAGUGAUUUUCUCUCCAAAUUUUCUGAAAUGUUAUAUUGCUUUUUGACUGCUUAAAAUUUUGCAAAUAAUUCAUGGCUGUUAUAAAAAAUUUUAGAAACAUGGGAGAAUGAGGAAGGAAUGAUGA